rnacentral:rRNA from 1 species
AUUGAACGCUGGCGGCAGGCUUAACACAUGCAAGUCGAGCGAGCGGCGGACGGGUGAGUAAUGUCUGGGAAACUGCCUGAUGGAGGGGGAUAACUACUGGAAACGGUAGCUAAUACCGCAUACCAUCAGAUGUGCCCCGGUGGGAUUAGCUAGUAGGUGGGGUAAUGGCUCACCUAGGCGACGAUCCCUAGCUGGUCUGAGAGGAUGACAAGCCAAACGGGAACUGAGACACGGUCCAGACGCCUACGGGAGGAAGAGGUGGGGCAGAUGGGACAAGGGGCGAAAGGCGGAUGGAGUCAUGCCGCGUGUGUGAGGAAGGCCUUCGGGUUGUAAGGUACUUAAAGCGAGUAGGCGUUACUCGCAGAAGAAGCACCGGCUAACUACGUGCCAGCAGCCGCGGUAAUUC